rnacentral:rRNA from 1 species
GUCGUAACAAGGUUUCCGUAGGUGAACCUGCGGAAGGAUCAUUAUUGAAUAAACAUGGUUGGGUUGUAGCUGACUCCUAGGAGUAUGUGCACACCUGCCGUCUUUAUCUAUCCACCUGUGCACACAUUGUAGUCUUGGGGGAUUGAUUAGUGACAAUUUUUUGUUGCCAUGUCGUCCUCUGGGGUCUAUGUUAUCAUAAACCACUUAGUAUGUCGUAGAAUGAAGUAUUUGGGCCUCAGUGCCUAUAAACAAAAUACAACUUUCAGCAACGGAUCUCUUGGCUCUCGCAUCGAUGAAGAACGCAGCGAAAUGCGAUAAGUAAUGUGAAUUGCAGAAUUCAGUGAAUCAUCGAAUCUUUGAACGCACCUUGCGCUCCUUGGUAUUCCGAGGAGCAUGCCUGUUUGAGUGUCAUUAAAUUCUCAACCCCUCCAGCUUUUGUUGCUGGUUGUGGCUUGGAUAUGGGAGUGUUUGCUGGUCUCAUUCGAGAUCAGCUCUCCUGAAAUGUAUUAGUGGAACCGUUUGCGAUCCGUCACCGGUGUGAUAAUUAUCUACGCCAUAGACUGUGAACGCUCUCUGUAGUGUUCUGCUUCUAACUGUCCUAUUAAAGGACAACAAUAUUGAACUUUUGACCUCAAAUCAGGUAUGACUACCCCUGAACUUAG